rnacentral:rRNA from 1 species
GGCCUUGACAUCCACGGAAUUCGGCAGAGAUGCCUUAGUGCCUUCGGGAACCGUGAGACAGGUGCUGCAUGGCUGUCGUCAGCUCGUGUUGUGAAAUGUUGGGUUAAGUCCGCAACGAGCGCAACCCUUAUCCCUUGUUGCCAGCGAUUCGGUCGGGAACUCAAAGGAGACUGCCGGUGAUAAACCGGAGGAAGGUGGGGAUGACGUCAAGUCAUCAUGGCCCUUACGGCCAGGGCUACACACGUGCUACAAUGGCGCAUACAAAGAGAAGCGACCUCGCGAGAGUAAGCGGACCUCAUAAAGUGCGUCGUAGUCCGGAUUGGAGUCUGCGACUCGACUCCAUGAAGUCGGAAUCGCUAGUAAUCGUAGAUCAGAAUGCUACGGUGAAUACGUUCCCGGGCCUUGUACACACCGCCCGUCACACCAUGGGAGUGGGUUGCAAAAGAAGUAGGUAGCUUAACCUUCGGGAGGGCGCUUACCACUUUGUGAUUCAUGACUGGGGUGAAGUCGUAACAAGGUAAGCGUACGUGU